rnacentral:lncRNA from 1 species
CAGCAGUUCAAUGGCAUAAUCAAAAAUUGAAGACUUUUUUUUCUGCUCUGUUAUUCUCAAGGUGAUGGUCUUGUUUUCCCAAGCUGCUACAGAGCUUCUGCAGCUCCAAGCAUGACCACUAUAUUUGGCUGCUUAAAAGCAUAACAAGGGCAGAAAUCAUAAAGGCUUUGCCCAGAGGGCCUUGAUUGUCCUUGCCUUCUUGUCCUUUGGUGAGAACUUCAUUGGUGGUGGCUCCAAAAAUCAGGAGACUUUCUGUGAUGAAUUCACCAUAAGAACGUGGGACCCAGCCUCCCUUGAAGGACGUGCAUGAUUUCCCACUUACCUCCCGCAACCACUACCACCCACGUUGUCCACAGUAUUCAGCUGUCUCAGGGAGGAUCACAAUUAUUCUAAUGGGACUGCAAAGAGUGAAGGACACAGCUUUUAACAUCAGAUUCGAAUCCUACAAUUUGGAACCCAUGGGCACUUCUAGAUUGGAUCUUGCAGAGAUUUUUUACAACAGAAAUAAUGGAAAGGCAAAAGAAAACAUUGAGUAAUAACCAACCCAAGCAAGUCCAGCCUCUUUCUGCAGAAGAUAAUCAGGAUGACUCCACCUUUGUACCUGACUGAGGAACUUAGUGAACCCUGAAGAAAUGAUGAUUAAAGAGACAAUGAAGAGGCCAGGCGCAGUGGCUCAUGCCUGUAAUCCCAGCACUUUGGGAGGCCGAGGUAGGCGGAUCAUGAGGUCAGGAAAUCGAGACCAUCCUGGCUAACAUGGUGAAACUCUAUCUCUACUAAAAAUACAAAAAAUAAGCUGGGUGUGGUGGCACGUGCCUGUAAUCCCAGCUACUCAGGAAGCUGAGACAGGAGAAUCGCUUGAACCCAGGAGGUGGAGGUUGCAGUGAGCCGAAGUCGUGCCGUUGCACUCCAGUCCGGGUGACAGAGUGAGACUCUGUCUCAAAAAAAAAAAAAAAAAAAAAGGACAAUGAAGACAGGAGACAUUGGGCUGUGCCCUUCUAGAUAUGACAGGGAGCAAAUAAGCCAACUCCAGGUCAGUAUAAAAUCCUAGGUGAUCAUUAAAAUCACUUAAAUAAGCCAACUCCAGGUCAGCAUAAAAUCCUAGGCGAUCAUUAAAAUCACUUAAAAUUAAAAUCCUAGGUGAUCAUUAAAACCACUUCAAAAAGACAUGUUUUGGGAGCUAUGUGUUCAGGGAAACAGAGGAGAAAACAACUGGGACUCUAUGAGGUGCCAGGUUUGAAGCUGUAUGGAUGUGACUGAUGUCAGGUUUUCAUGAGCCCAGUGGAAAAUUUAGAGGCAGUAAACUGGGCAACUGGGGCUGUUGGUGCUUGAGUAAUGCUUGGGCAUCAAGAUCUCCAAACUGUGUGGCCGCACCUGUGGUCCUAGCUACUCAGGAGGCUGAGGUGGGAGGAUAGUUGGAGCCUGGGAGAUUGAGGCUGCAGUGAGCUGUGAUGGUGCCACUGUACUCUAGCCUGGGUGACAGAGCGAGACUUGUCUCAAAAAAAAAAAAAUCUCCAAACUGGACUCUCUCUCACUAGGGAUUUGUCUCUUUCUCCUCUCCUUCUCUUCCUUCCUAAUUAUCUCCUUUUCUUUAUUCACAAUAUAUAUAUCCUCAACUAUGGAUAAGUGUGCUUAUACUCAGCUAUAUUUUCUUUUUUUCCAGCUAUAUUGAUGUAUAAUUGACAAAUAAAAAUUAGAUAUUGUUAAGGUGUACAACAUAGUGCUUGACAGAUAUAUACAUUGUGAAAUAAUUACCACAACCAAGCAAGCUAGUUAACAUAUCCAUCACCUCAUGUAGUUACUUUUUUGGGUUUUUUUUUUUUUGGUGUGGUGAGAACACUGAAAAUCAACUCUCUUAGCAAAUUUUGAGUAUUCAAUGAAGUAUACUUGAAUAACACUGUAUACAAAUUCAAGUAUAAAUUCAAGUAUACAAUGCUAUUAGCUAUAGUCAUCCUGCUAUAUAUUAGUUCUCCAGAACCUACUCAUCAUAUAAGUUAACGUUUGUACCCUUUGCCCAAGACCGCCCCACUUCCUCCUCCCACCAGCUGCUGGUAACAACCAUUCUACUCUCUGUUUCUAUGAGUUUGACUUUUUUAGGUUUUGCAUAGAAGUGACAUCAUGCAGUAUUUAUCUUUCUGUGUCUGGCUUGUUUCAUUUAGCAUAACGUCUUGCAGGUUCAUUCAUGUUGUCGCAAAUGGCAGGAUUUCCUUAUUUUUAAAGGCUGAAUAUUCCAUUGUGUGUGAAAAUAUAUGAUAUCAACUGUAUUUUCAUAUAUGUGUCUAACUGGAUGGCCUCUUAAUAAACUUUAAAGGAUUAAAGAUUGUCAUUAGAGAAUUCUAAAUAAGGUGGUUUUAGGUUCAUAUUAUACAAUACAUGUAAUGUGCAUGCAUUAUGUCGACUCUUAUUAAAUUCUAAGUCCUACUCAAUAGUGUUGAGAGCAUUAAUGCACCCAAGAAUUUUGUUUUUUUAUUUAACUUAGUGAGAAAAUAUAACUUAAUAUAUAGCAAUUCACUUAGAUUGAUAUAGAAGUAAUUAACACCACAUUCUUAUUAAUAGAUUUCU